rnacentral:rRNA from 1 species
UGGGGGAUAACGUUGGAAAGAACGGUAAUACCGCAUAACGAUUCGGAGAGGCAUCUCUUGAUACCCAAAGGAGCAAUCCGCUGUAGGAUGGCUUCGCGUCCGAUUAGCCAGUUGGCGGGGUAACGGCCCACCAAAGCGACGAUCGGUAGCCGGACUGAGAGGUUGAACGGCCACAUUGGGACUGAGACACGGCCCAGACUCCUACGGGAGGCAGCAGUGGGGAAUAUUGCACAAUGGGGGAAACCCUGAUGCAGCGACGCCGCGUGAGGGAAGAAGGUCUUCGGAUUGUAAACCUCUGUCUUCGGUGACGAAAAUGACGGUAGCCGAGGAGGAAGCCACGGCUAACUACGUGCCAGCAGCCGCGGUAAUACGUAGGUGGCAAGCGUUGUCCGGAAUUACUGGGUGUAAAGGGAGCGUAGGCGGGAAUACAAGUUGAAUGUGAAAACUAUGGGCUCAACCCAUAGUUGCGUUCAAAACUGUGUUUCUUGAGUGAAGUAGAGGUAAGCGGAAUUCCUAGUGUAGCGGCGAAAUGCGUAAAUAUUAGGAGGAACACCAGUGGCGAAGGCGGCUUACUGGGCUUUAACUGACGCUGAGGCUCGAAAGCGUGGGUAGCAAACAGGAUUAGAUACCCUGGUAGUCCACGCUGUAAACGAUGAUUACUAGGUGUGGGGGGACUGACCCCUUCCGUGCCGGA